rnacentral:rRNA from 1 species
AAGCCAGACUCCUACGGGAGGCAGCAGUGGGGGAUAUUGCACAAUGGGGGAAACCCUGAUGCAGCGACACCGCGUGGGUGAGGAAGCGCUUCGGCGUGUAAAGCCCUAUCAGUGGGGAAGAAAAAGGACGGUACCCAAAGAAGAAGCACCGGCUAAAUACGUGCCAGCAGCCGCGGUAAUACGUAUGGUGCAAGCGUUAUCCGGAAUGACUGGGUGUAAAGGGAGCGUAGACGGCAGUGCAAGUCUGGAGUGAAAGGGGGGGGCGCAACCCCCGGACUGCUCUGGAAACUGUGCGGCUGGAGUGCAGGAGAGGGAAGUGGAAUUCCUAGUGUAGCGGUGAAAUGCGUAGAUAUUAGGAGGAACACCAGUGGCGAAGGCGGCUUACUGGACUGUAACUGACGUUGAGGCUCGAAAGCGUGGGGAGCAAACAGGAUUAGAUACCCCGGUAAAA